UACGAAGGGGGCUAGCGUUGCUCGGAAUCACUGGGCGUAAAGCGCACGUAGGCGGAUUGUUAAGUCAGGGGUGAAAUCCUGGAGCUCAACUCCAGAACUGCCUUUGAUACUGGCGAUCUCGAGUCCGGGAGAGGUGAGUGGAACUGCGAGUGUAGAGGUGAAAUUCGUAGAUAUUCGCAAGAACACCAGUGGCGAAGGCGGCUCACUGGCCCGGUACUGACGCUGAGGUGCGAGAGCGUGGGGAGCGAACCGG
rnacentral:rRNA from 1 species